UAUAUUUCAAAAGAAAUACUAUACAUGUGUUGUUUUACAUGGUCAAGGCACGUUAAUAUAUUUUCUCAUGAGUAGGAACUGCUAAUCUGAUUCUUUGCCACAAUUCUAGGAGACUACAACGUUCCAAUUAUGCUUGACCAUGUAUAUAUAUAUACACACAUAUCAGUGAGCAUAAAAGAUACAGAAAAAUACUGAUGCGUGAAACCAACUCUUAAAAACCAGUUUUAUUAUUUCUUUCCCUCACAUAUUG
rnacentral:lncRNA from 1 species